AACGAACGCUGGCGGCAUGCCUAACACAUGCAAGUCGAACGAGACCUUCGGGUCUAGUGGCGCACGGGUGCGUAACGCGUGGGAACCUGCCCUUAGGUUCGGAAUAACUCCCCGAAAGGGGUGCUAAUACCGGAUAAUUUCUUCGGACCAAAGAUUUAUCGCCUUUGGAUGGGCCCGCGUUGGAUUAGCUAGUUGGUAGGGUAAAAGCCUACCAAGGCGACGAUCCAUAGCUGGUCUGAGAGGAUGAUCAGCCACACUGGGACUGAGACACGGCCCAGACUCCUACGGGAGGCAGCAGUGGGGAAUAUUGGACAAUGGGCGAAAGCCUGAUCCAGCAAGGCCGCGUGAGUGAUGAAGGCCUUAGGGUUGUAAAGCUCUUUUACCCGGGAUGAUAAUGACAGUACCGGGAGAAUAAGCGCCGGCUAACUCCGUG
rnacentral:rRNA from 1 species